GCCAGCCGCGCUGGAUCCGGCGGGUGAAAGUCAAACGGGAAACAGGAAGGCGGUCCGCCCAGAUAUGGGCCCGGUGCCCCCUCAGCCUGUGCUGCCCCCGCAACGGUCCUCGCGCGGCGACGCGCGACAGCCCGAUACCGGCCGAUUCGCCCGUGGAAUC
rnacentral:ncRNA from 2 species